UACGAGGGGGGCAAGCGUUGUUCGGAAUUAUUGGGCGUAAAGGGCGCGUAGGCGGCCUGAUAAGUCGGGGGUGAAAUCCUGUGGCUUAACCACAGGGCUGCCUCCGAGACUGUCGGGCUCGAGCACAGUAGAGGCAGGUGGAAUUCCCGGUGUAGCGGUGGAAUGCGUAGAGAUCGGGAAGAACAUCGGUGGCGAAGGCGGCCUGCUGGGCUGUUGCUGACGCUGAGGCGCGACAGCGUGGGGAGCAAACAGG
rnacentral:rRNA from 1 species